rnacentral:rRNA from 1 species
UCCUACGGGAGGCAGCAGUGGGGGAUAUUGCACAAUGGGGGGAACCCUGAUGCAGCGACGCCGCGUGAAGGAAGAAGUAUCUCGGUAUGUAAACUUCUAUCAGCAGGGAAGAAAAUGACGGUACCUGACUAAGAAGCCCCGGCUAACUACGUGCCAGCAGCCGCGGUAAUACGUAGGGGGCAAGCGUUAUCCGGAUUUACUGGGUGUAAAGGGAGCGUAGACGGCAGAGCAAGUCCGGAGUGAAAGCCCGGGGCCCAACCCCGGGACUGCUCUGGAAACUGUUAAGCUGGAGUGCGGGAGGGGCA